GCUGGGUAACCUUGGCAAGUUGUCUAAAUGAAGCUGACCUCUGUCAACCUAAAUAACAAAGAAGGAAACUAUCUAAAGGACAAUGGUGUUUAUUCGGGCGUAGGCAUUAAGAUGGGCAUGUGUGUGCCAUGGUAAACUAAUUGCUUAUCCAGAGAAGUAAAAAGAGAUAAUUUUUUUUAAGAAAAUGAGGAUUGCAGAAUUGUUUUGAGAUAAUUAUCCUGGGCCACAAGGAUCAAUAACAAGGGUGAUGCCUGUCUGAGGCUGGACAGGCAGUUGCUGGCAGAUGUCCUGGCAGAAGUGGUUUUUUGUGAAAAGUUGCAAUGCCUCACUCAUGAGAGCCCUCCCUCCAUGGCCUUCCCCAGCGUGUCAGGGUUUUAACACAGGGAACUCCAUUUGGAUUCUGAAAAUUUUCCCUCAUGAGGUUGCAUGAGGACUAAACGCAACAGUGGGUAUGAAGGGCUUGGCAUAGUACCUGGCUCGUGUGAAUUACUGGUUAGAGAAGAGAUGUAGGAAGUCAAAUAGGGUAAGUAAAAGAGGACUUGUUGAAGACUACUGGAUUCUUUGUAGUAUGAAUUCUUCUUUCUCCAACUUUGUAGCUUGGGACUUCUGUCUUGGCAAGUACAACACUUUGCAAUCCUCCUCACAGCUAGGAAGGGCACAGGACUAAAUUCUGACCAAUGGACAGGACUGCCUUAAAGGAGAGCGUAAAAGCUGCCCCCUGCUCGUCCUCCUGGCUGCUGUGCGGAAGUGCUGGCUGGCACCUGGGCAGCCAUUUUUUACCAUGAGGCAGAGCAGUGAGUGAGAUGAAAUGAAGGAGUCUGGGACCCUGAUGCCCGGGAAGCCAUCACCCCAGCCCAGCCCUACCACCUCCAGUCUCGUAGCUGUGUGGGGGAGAUACCCUUCAAUCUCCUAUAAGUCAUGGAUUUUUCCUGUUUGUUACAUUCAACCCAGCAAAAUUCUAGCUGAUAUUCAAGAUCCCCGAAUUAGGUAGUUCAGCUGAGCUCAGGAACUGGAAGAGCUGACGUAAGUGGUGAGGUGGAGGUGGCCUCAGGAAGAGGUGGAGCUGAUGAUGGACACCCUAGGAGAGGAGACACUGUGAGUUUCUCUUCCUGUCCAGAUGAACUCACUCCUGAUGCACUGGCCAUCUUGUUUUCUGAAAACUUCUUUCUCUUUGGUCCUAUUUUAGACUCAGAGCAGUUUGGGAGGCAACUGGUUUUAUUUGCACAGUUAUCACCUGUUCCAAUGAAGAAGAAACACAAAGAUGUGCUUCUGUGAUUUGAAAGUUUAUCCAGGAUUCAGGCUUUUUAGGAGUCUAUGAGGGUAUUGCUUGGCUGAAAUUCUCCACAUUGCCACUGGUUACUUAUUAUCGUUUCAUCCACAUCAGUGCUUCUCAAACUGCUGAGCAUUAGUGUCACCUGGGGAGCUUUAAAACAUUCUGAAGCCCAGCCCAUACCCCAGACCGGUUAGAUCACAAGUGGAGAAGCUGGGGCCCCAGCAUUGGCAGUUGUUAAAGCUCCCUGGGUGGACCCACCGUGCGGAAGGUGGGAGAAGCAGCAAACGCAAUUCUUAGUCUCUAAGUGUGGUCCCCAGGCCGGCAGCAGUGAGAGUUUGUUGGAAACACAGACUCUCAGGAGCUACUGAAUCGGAAUGUUGUGUCUUCCACAAGCUCCCAGGCCGUGUGCUUCGGUGCCAGGAAGAUCAGGCUGCAGGGGGCGUUGCGCUGGUUCCUGACAGGGACUCAUUCUUUCACCCAGGAUGAAGUGCGGUGGCAGGACCAUAGCUCACUGCAGCCUCAAUCAACUCCCGGAGCUCAAGCAAUCCUCCCACCUCAGCCUCCCAAGUAGCUGGGACCACAGAUGAAGGCUUCCUAUGUUGCCCAGGCUGGUCUCAAACGUCUGGCCUCCCGUCCUUAUGCGCCAGGACAACAGGACUGAGCCACCGCACCAUCCAAGUCUCUUGCUUUUUAAUAGCUUUCUUAUUUUUCUUUUAUUCAUCCAGGGGUUACUUUGUGAAUUUAAAUAAUUCACUUAAAAUAACAUUUUGAAAUUUAUCAACUUUAUCUACUGUUGUAUGAGAUAUGAGGAACUUAGCAAAUGGACUCAUUCUUCAUUUUCUUCUUCCUCUCUCUCCUGAUUUUUCCAAGUUAUGUUAUUAUUUUUAAAUUUCCAAAGCUUGUGUCAUUUAGAUUGUUCUAUAAAUAUAAUUAAGCAAUCAGUGGUUGUCUAAGUGUGGUUUCUUCUUAAAAUGUAUACUCAAUAAAUACAUUUCCAGUAUCAUGAAUAUAUAAAUACUUUUCACUCUAGGAAAAAUAAUAAAAAAAAGGUCUUGAUGUCCUAAGCCAUUAGGUUCUAAAAUGUGUCUUUUUGUUCAUGUAUAUUGUUAUAAAAGUGAAUAAAUGGGAUUUUUGAUACCAUGUAUAUGUGGAGAGUGUAGUGGAAAUGCUUUUGGUUGUGGUGGUGGUGGUGGUGGUGGGGUGGACAGGAAA
rnacentral:lncRNA from 1 species